rnacentral:rRNA from 1 species
GAUGAACGCUGGCGGCGUGCCUAAUACAUGCAAGUCGAGCGAACAGACGAGGAGCUUGCUCCUCUGACGUUAGCGGCGGACGGGUGAGUAACACGUGGAUAACCUACCUAUAAGACUGGGAUAACUUCGGGAAACCGGAGCUAAUACCGGAUAAUAUAUUGAACCGCAUGGUUCAAUAGUGAAAGACGGUUUUGCUGUCACUUAUGGAUGGAUCCGCGCCGCAUUAGCUAGUUGGUAAGGUAACGGCUUACCAAGGCAACGAUGCGUAGCCGACCCGAGAGGGUGAUCGGCCACACUGGAACUGAGACACGGUCCAGACUCCUACGGGAGGCAGCAGUAGGGAAUCUUCCGCAAUGGGCGAAAGCCUGACGGAGCAACGCCGCGUGAGUGAUGAAGGUCUUCGGAUCGUAAAACUCUGUUAUUAGGGAAGAACAAAUGUGUAAGUAACUAUGCACGUCUUGACGGUACCUAAUCAGAAAGCCACGGCUAACUACGUG